rnacentral:rRNA from 1 species
ACGAACGCUGGCGGCGUGCUUAACACAUGCAAGUCGAGCGGUAAGGCCCUUUCGGGGGUACACGAGCGGCGAACGGGUGAGUAACACGUGGGUGACCUGCCCUCAGCUCUGGGAUAAGCCUGGGAAACCGGGUCUAAUACCGGAUAUGACUCCAUGACGCAUGUUGUGGGGUGGAAAGCCUUGUGCGGCUGAGGAUGGGCCCGCGGCCUAUCAGCUUGUUGGUGGGGUGAUGGCCACCAAGGCGACGACGGGUAGCCGGCCUGAGAGGGCGACCGGCCACACUGGGACUGAGACACGGCCCAGACUCCUACGGGAGGCAGCAGUGGGGAAUCUUGCGCAAUGGGCGAAAGCCUGACGCAGCGACGCCGCGUGA